CGGCCCGCUUCGGCAGAACAGAAAGUGAAAAUAUCUGAACCAGAGCACCGCUUGUGUUUUACACUUCCACCGCGAGAUGGCGCCAGAUGCCCCCGGGUACCCACUCUGCAUCUGAACCUCGGACAGUUUGCAGAGAGAAAAUAUGUCCUGUUGACAAGAUUCAUAAGAGGGCAGGCCUCACCCAGGAGAGCACAGCUGAGAACACGCAGGCCCGAAUCAAAAAUUACAGUGGAGAGAAAAAUAACAUGUGGACAAGUGCUGCUUUUACUCAUUAGAUGAAGAUGUGAACGCUUCCUCCCAUCACUGCAGCCACUGAACUCCCAGCAUAUGUAAGAACGUUCUGCAAAACUUACCUGGAGGUUGGGGGAACUUUCCCUGACUGUAAUUUUGGAAUGUUUUCUUAAUGUUCACUGUGGGGGGUCCAGGGAGUGUUUCCCAAAUGGAAAGUGAUCUAAUGGAUUGCUUCUCUCUAUUUACCAGCUCGGGCUCUGACAUAUAUCAUCAAUCCGUCCCCUGAACACUGCUACUACCUUAUUUUUUAGGCCCCUUAUCAAUAAUAAGAGCAACAAGAAUAAAUAUGAUGCUAA